AACGAACGCUGGCGGCAGGCUUAACACAUGCAAGUCGAACGAUGAACCGGGUGCUUGCACUCGGGGAUUAGUGGCGAACGGGUGAGUAACACGUGAGCAACCUGCCCCUGACUCUGGGAUAAGCGCUGGAAACGGCGUCUAAUACUGGAUAUGUCCCGUCACCGCAUGGUGUGCGGGUGGAAAGAUUUUUCGGUUGGGGAUGGGCUCGCGGCCUAUCAGCUUGUUGGUGAGGUAAUGGCUCACCAAGGCGUCGACGGGUAGCCGGCCUGAGAGGGUGACCGGCCACACUGGGACUGAGACACGGCCCAGACUCCUACGGGAGGCAGCAGUGGGGAAUAUUGCACAAUGGGCGGAAGCCUGAUGCAGCAACGCCGCGUGAGGGAUGACGGCCUUCGGGUUGUAAACCUCUUUUAGCAGGGAAGAAGCGAGAGUGACGGUACCUGCAGAAAAAGCACCGGCUAACUACGUGCCAGCAGCAGCCGCAG
rnacentral:rRNA from 1 species